rnacentral:rRNA from 1 species
UACGUAGGGUGCGAGCGUUAAUCGGAAUUACUGGGCGUAAAGCGUGCGCAGGCGGUUCGUUGUGUCCGUCGUGAAAGCCCCGGGCUUAACCUGGGAACUGCGAUGGAAACUAGCGAGCUGGAGUGUGGCAGAGGGGGGUGGAAUUCCGCGUGUAGCAGUGAAAUGCGUAGAGAUGCGGAGGAACACCGAUGGCGAAGGCAGCCCCCUGGGCCAACACUGACGCUCAUGCACGAAAGCGUGGGGAGCAAACAGG